AAGCCAGCCAAUGAAUCUGCUUACCUGAUUGUGUUUGUGCAGACAUACUUUAAAAACUGGCAAUAGUAAAGCCAUGUUACGAGCCUUAAGGACAUUGAAGUCGUUAAGGUCCCUGAGAAUGGCUAUAACA
rnacentral:snoRNA from 10 species